GUGAGAAUCUGGCACCAGACAGACAAACAGGAGAAGACUAAAUGGGAAGGGGGUGGAGGCAGGAGAUGAUUGGAAAACGGAAUAAUUACAAGUUGAGGUGAAGGAGAGACAUGGAGAAACAUGGACAGCAGGAACAGCCACAAAGACUCACUUCAACAAGCCAAAAUGUCUCCCUGAUAUUUGAUAAGCCCCUCCUACUGGGCGAGACAAACACAAAUAAUACAUUCAAAAAUGGCAUGUAGCCACUGAGCAAACAUAAAAUCAUAUUAAACAGCAGUGGAAUGGAAUUGAAAACCCACUCAUUAACAUAACACAUCCCCCAGAUCAAAACACUCUUAAAAUGAUGAAAAUACACUAAAUUGGUGCAUUAAAUGGGUGCAGCCGGCCGGGUGGCCAUUUUCCGCUGUAAAGGACGAGGACUGUGGAGUGAAAACCCACCACUGAACUACAAGGAGAAUCAUGUGAUGGGCUCCUCGAUCUCCUCCCUCCUGCGUUGCUCCAGCUGGAUCCAGAGCCGGUAGGAACUCCUCAGCCGGUGGCAGUGGUCCGUCGGGUUCUCGCCAGGCGGCGCACUGGGGAAGCAGAACUGCUGUGGUUGCUGAAGUCUCUGACCUGUCCUGGUUUUCAUGAGACAAACAGGAGGAAACAGUCUUCUCUCGACGAGCCAUCCCACUUCUGACACCAUAUGUGACCGGCAUGGUGAAGGAAGUGGGAUCCCCUCGUCCCCCUCCUCCCCCAACACAAGAUGAACUCAGUGUUUAGACAGAUGAUAUAUUCUGACACCUGGGCCUCGUCUACCCCACAAUGACAGGAGUCAAUGGAAAGUUUCCCAUUAACACAGAGAAGUUGUUAAAAUGUACAUUUUUAGGGAAAUACUAAAAACAAGAUGUUUUCAUGUUGGAAGACGGGGAAGGGCUGCUUGUUUGUUUUUGCCAUGACACCAUACAUGCAAAGAACAACACAGAAUGAACAUGACUUGCAGAUGUAAUAAACAGAAAGUUCCACCACUGUUUUCACAAAGUGGUUUUUCAGUGACUCUUGUCAUGUGAACAACCAGCCAAAACCGACUGAAAGUUAUCUAGACCUCAUUUUCUCUUGAAAAUGAAGUCUAGAUAACUUUCAAACCCUCGG